UAAUACGGGAGGGGCAAGCGUUACCCAAAAUUACUGGGCGUAAAGUGUCCGUAGACUGUAAUAUAAGUUUUAUGUUAAAAUUUAAAGUUUAACUUUAAAAAAAUAUAAAAUACUGUUUUACUUGAGUUUUAUACAGAAGAGUAGAAUUUCAUGUUGAAGAGUAAAUUCUAAAAAUACAUGAAGGAAUAUCAAAAGCGAAAGCGACUCUUUAGUACAAACUGACGUUGAGGGACGAAAGUGUAGGGAGCGAACAGGAUUAGAUACCCUGGUAGUCUACGCUGUAAAUUCUGAGUGCUGUAAUUUAAAUUAAAAUUUUAGAUUUUCUAAGCUAACGCCAUAAGCAUUCCGCCUGAGGAGUAUGAUCGCAAGAUUGGAACUCAAGGAAUUGACGGAGCCUACAACGAGUGGUGGAGCAUGUGGUUAAUGCGAUAAUCCGCGCAAAA
rnacentral:rRNA from 1 species